UACGUAGGGACCGAGCGUUGUCCGGAAUCAUUGGGCGUAAAGAGCGUGUAGGCGGCCACUUAAGUCCUGCGUGAAAUCUUGCGGCUCAACCGCAAGCGGUCGUGGGAAACUGGGUGGCUAGAGUGCGGGAGAGGAGAGUGGAAUUCCUGGUGUAGCGGUGAAAUGCGCAGAUAUCGGGAGGAACACCAAUGGCGAAGGCAGCUCGCUGGGACGGUACUGACGCUGAGGCGCGAAAGCGUGGGGAGCAAACAGG
rnacentral:rRNA from 1 species